GCGCAGCCGACUAGAGACUCUCUGUGGAACCGGUAAGAUACUGGAUUCACCAUCUUGAUGACCGUUGCAUUUAUUCAACAAGGAUCAAGAAGUUCCUGACUUCUCCUUCAGGCGACUGAGGAAGAUCCGAUGUGCAGCAACUGGGUGUGGUGGUGCAGAGACCCAGUGUGAAGAGUUGAUUCACACCUGUGGUCCAGUGGGCUGCUUCCAUCUACCCUGAGGAUCCCUGGCUACACCUGCACAUCGAUCUACACCCAACAUUACCUCAAAGAGCUCCAUCUAUGCCAAUACUACACGCACUGAUAUCACUUUGCUGUACAGACAAAAUUGUCAUAACAUGUUUUGGGGGAAGAAUGUUUGAAUUAAUCUUUGAUUUGUCAUUUUAUUUCUGUACCCCAUAUCUAUGAUCCCAGCUGUUGUAUUUCUGACAUAGCAGGGAACCCUCUUUUAGGGAGCGACUAGAGGGACGAGGCUGGAAGCAAAGAUGCAGUAACUUCACUCGCUUACCUAAUAUCUAAACUCGUUUGCCUAAAAUUGCUUGCAUGAAACCGAAACUCGCUUGCCUAAACUCACUUGUCUAAACCCGCUUGCCUAAACCCGCUUGCAUGAAACCUAAACUCGCUUGCAUGAAACCUAAACCCGCUUGCAUGAAACCUAAACUCGCUUGCAUGAAACCUAAACCCGCUUGCAUGAAACCUAAACUCGCUUGCAUGAAACCUAAACCCGCUUGCAUGAAACCUAAACUCGCUUGCAUGAAACCUAAACCCGCUUGCAUGAAACCUAAACCCGCUUGCCUAAACCCGCUUGCCUAAACCCGCUUGCAUGAAACCUAAACCCGCUUGCAUG